GAUGAACGCUAGCGGCAGGCUUAAUACAUGCAAGUCGUGGGGCAGCAGCUUUAUAGCAAUAUAGAGGCUGGCGACCGGCAAACGGGUGCGGAACACGUACUGAACCUUCCUUUAAGUGGGGAAUAGCCCAGAGAAAUUUGGAUUAAUACCCCGUAACAUAUAAAAGUGGCAUCACUUUUAUAUUAAAGCUCCGGCGCUUAAAGAUGGCAGUGCGGCUGAUUAGGUAGUUGGCGGGGUAACGGCCCACCAAGCCUACGAUCAGUAACUGGUGUGAGAGCACGACCAGUCACACGGGCACUGAGGCACGGGCCCGACUCCUGCGGGAGGCAGCAGUAAGGAAUAUUGGUCAAUGGACGGAAUUCUAAACCAGCCAUGCCGCGUGGAGGAUGAAGGUCCUCUGGAUUGUAAACUUCUUUUAUCUGGGACGAAAAAGGGCUUUUCUAAGUCAACUGACGGUACCAGAUGAAUAAGCACCGGCUAACUCCGUGCCAGCAGCCGCCGUAA
rnacentral:rRNA from 1 species